UUCGCCACAUCGCCUCUCACGAAGCAGAACCGAGAGAGCGAGAGAGAGUGAGUGAGCAGUGAUGGGGGGAUAUAAAAUAAAAUACAAGCAAAACAACAUAAAACCCAACAACAGCGAUAAUAACAGCAUUUGCAGCACGUGCAAUUAAUAGAUGCUCUCCAUCUCUCACUCUCCGUCAUUUGGUUUCUCUCUCUCUUCUGCAAUGUACCGUUGUACCGUUGCAAACCGAGAUGCCUCUCUGGUUGGCUGUUGCAUACUUCUCGGCCCCAGGAAGAAGUCUGAGUGUGUGUGUUGGCAUUUUUGUUUGGUAAACUGCAUAUACAACAAUACAAUAAGCAAGACACCGGCUGAGGAAUGGGGAUCUGGGGUCCUUUACAUACCGCUCUAUGUAGCAUGAAUGAAAGUUCGGCGCAUGCCAUUUGAUGGCCUCGCUAUAAAAGUCAGAUAGGCUAUGUGCACGGGCUCAGUUGAGUCCCAACUACCAGAGUCCCGACUUCGACUUUAACUCCAUCUCCCAAGAAACCAGUGAAGCCGCCAAAAAAGAAAACAAAAAAAUACGGAAAAAUCUAGCUGAAAAGUAUUUCUAACGCAGCAAGCCGAAAUUCCUCGAGUUCCAAAGCGACGGCAAUUGGCUGAGCACAAAAUUUGGACGAGACUGUGAGCCCCGCGCUCAUCAAGAAACAUCAUCCUACCAGAAUUCUGAGUUCUAAGCUUCAAUAUCAAAGCCACUACAACCAUUUCAUCUCAGCAUCAGUCAGUUCGCUUGGGUCGAACCUAUUGUAAGUAAGACACCAUGAGUUCGUCGAUGAAAAUACAGGUCGCACGAUCUCAAACGCAAGGAUACAAAAAUGAUCUCUUAAAGCGGUACAAAUCAACGAAAUCAAGCCCAAUUAGGGCCAAAUAUCAAAUGAUAGAAAAAUAAUGUCAUAACCAGCUAAGUACAGCAAUCAAUCGAUAUGUAACCAAUUGUAGGGCCACUAAGUAUGCCGAUAGUCAAUGUAUUAGCCAUAUCUUCUAGCAUUUAGUUAACCAUACUUAAGCCAUCACAAACUAGGGACAAUGCAUCUAAAUAGGAAAUUUAGCUCUUAAGAUCAACUACAAUUAAAUAACUUUCACUGUAAGAAUCCGAAUCCGAACAGUUAGGGCUUAAAGAAAGGCAACCAAUUGUUAUCGCUCGCAUUUAACUUUUAUUAAAUCCCGCUGCAAGAGCUAAACAUUGACACGAUCCGCUUAAUCCGGGGCUUGUGAUCCGCUCUAAACGCUUCGAUUCCACCAAAAUUAUCCGGGCAAUCUAUGAGAUAUGGGUGUCCGAACUUGCUAAUCGCGUACGCGGAAAAAUAGAGGCCAGGGUCCGGACCCUUGCCGUAGUCGGGUUCUACGAGCCGUGCGUCAAGCGGCAGUCGCCCCUCGCGUCGGUUGGGCGGGUGGUGGGUAACGAUUUACCGUUACACGUUGGGAAUGCGUUCGCAAAAAAUUGCGAUUUUAAUGAGGCUUACAAAUGAGAAUUAUUUAAAUUGUAUCUUUCUAUAAAUUUAUUUCUUCCUAUUAAGCAUUCUGCAUGUUACUUAUAGAUUGAGGGUGCAAAACUUUUUAAUAUACAAAAUUUAUAUUUUCUAUUUUAUAGAAAAGAAUAUCUUUCAGUUAAAUUUGUCAAUAUUCAUGUAGAAUUUACGUAAUUUACUCAUUCACAUACUUUUAUUAUGAUAAUUAAUAGCCUAUAUUCGUAGGAUUGGAUAUCAGUUUUUGUCAGUUAGGAUCGAUAUAUGUAUGAGUGUAACACGAUAAUUUCUAUAUGGUGUAUAUAGUCCUGACCAGAUUUACCUACAGAUACAGUUGUCUUGCAUUUUUGGAGAUAAUGUGGGUUGAUUAAAUAUUUUCUUAAAAACAUCUGCACAGUUCUGGAGAGUAUUCAAGAGACUUUCUGGGACGACUGUUGAUAUUGCCAAUCCUUCCCUUUCCCAGAUGCAAACCUUGUUAACGCUUCUGGCGACGUCAACGGCGUCCACCCAAGAAAUGCAUAUUUAGUCAAGUGUUAAUAAUGUGGCUGCCACCGAGGGAUCGUCCCUUCAGCAGGAUGAGUUUUUUAGCCCGACUUUUGGGUUUUGGUUGGGCGGAAAAGGUGCAAGCGUGCGUUAAGCCAAGGAGCUCACGCAAGGCAAACAAAUACGGGGAGACACAAACAAAUGGCGCAAAGGGAUACAAAAAUGCAAAACAAAGGAAAAGUGCGGAAAAAUAAAAGGGAGAACUUGCUUGUCCAAACGGCCUCGAUGCCAGGGUCGCGAAUUAUAUUUCAUUGAGUUGUUCUGUCGCCUGUGGAUGUGGGAGAAAACAUAAAUAAAAAAUUAAAAUCAAAAGAAUGCAGAAAAAAGCAAAGGAAAUGCAUAACUAAACGAGGAUAGAGAAUAGAGGUUACAAGUUGGGGCUGCUGUUAAUUUUGUAUUCUAAAUGUGCCCUUCUCGGGACUUCAAGAAAGUUGCGACGUUUAUUUAUUUCCGCACUGCCGAGGUGCUUUUCUUUACUUUUCCUUGACUGUCUUGAGAUUUCUUUUGUUAUCAGUUUUUCGAGGAGUGGUACUGCUGAUUUUUAUGCUUACGGCCUGCAUUUGAGUUGAUAAUGAAGGCAGACAAUAUAAAUACACCCCUGCCCAUUUUCCGCACGGAUUUUAAUUUAGUGGUCUAUAAUUAAAAGCACUGCGUUGGGGGCGAUGUCAGGUGGCCAAUUUGCACACAACAAAAAACGAGAAAAGGAAAGUCACUGUCAUUGGAAAUCCCGCAGAUACAAUUUACCUUUCUACGUCACGUAGUUUCAACGUCAAUUGCCCAGUUCGCGGCGGCUAUUUGGUGGAAUGGAUGAUGGGUCCUGAACAUUGAACGCACUCAGACGGAAAUGACAAUGACAGGCGGUCCACAGUCAGGGGCGUAAGCACAAAAAGGGGAUUUUUCUAUACUGAAUGUAAGAUUUCCAAAAAAAAAAUUUACUAUAAUUUGUAAAGAAAAAACUAUAGGAACCCUAAAUAACCUGAAUAUUAUUGUAAAUUAUCUCCAUAUUAUGAAUUAUUCGUUUAAGCCGAUUAAUAUACAAUCCACUUUAUUCUACGCCAUUCUUAUACAAAAACUGGCAGGACUAAAAGUAUCUCGUGGAUAGCCAGCCGCAGGCAAUUGGCCACCCACUUGAAAAUUUAUGUGUUAAUUUUAAGGUGCCCGACGCGUGGAGGAGAUGGGGAAAUUCAGGAGGUAUUUUCUCCUUUAUACAUUUCUUUUUUUUCCGCCUUUUUGUAUUGGGCAGCAUUUUUCACAAAGUUUUUGCAGGUGCUGCCAGGGUCAGGCGCCUUUUGGUGUGUAAUAAAUGAGCUAAUAAUAAGUGAAAUGUGCUUUUGAGUGACCCUAAACAAUUGCCCCGAAGAGAAAAUGGUCGAGGAAGCAAAAUUGAGGAGAAAAGGAAAAUCCCGUAAAAAUUGCUGUGAAAUUUCGGUUGAGCAGCGAAAAAAUGCGGCAAAGUGUCGGAAAUUCCAUUGGUGACAUGAAAAGAUUUGUUUAUAAUUAAUUUUCACCUCGCCACCAUUUUCGGCUUUUUCCAUUUGUUUUAAGCUAGAAAAGUUGGUUAUCGCUAAAGUUCAAACAUGUGUCGCUGAAGCUUAUUAAUUACAUGAAUUCCUUUGGUCGGCAUUAUUUUGAGGAAUAUUGGGAAAAAGCAAUUUGCAAAAGAUUUUUAGAUUGCAUACCUAUUAGGGUAACAGGAAAAAAUGCUCAGUGAAGAGCCCGUUUAAAUUCGAACUUAACAUACGCUAUCAACAUAUAUUAAUUGAUAUUCUAUUUUCAAUAUUUUCUAUUUAAUCUGAACCAUUAAUAAUACAUUUAUUUGCAUUAUUAGCUGUUUCUUGGACUGGGCUAUAAUGUUCGUUAUAUGCACCUCACUUUUGACAUUUAUGAGUGGUUCAAUGUGUUGCAUGAUAUUGAGGAAUGUAUGGAGAACACCAUGAGCAAAAUAACAAAAGCCACAAAACACAAGUGUUGAUGUGUCGAAGGGCUAAAAAUGAAAAAAAAAAAAUGAUGAGAAUGGUAUAAAAGAGUAGCAGAAAAGCGAGAAAAACGAGGUGGAGAAAAAAUUUGUAUCCGCUUGUUGCAAAUUCCAAUCAAUUUUUGUUGUUCUUACGGGAGAGAUGAGGGCGACUCAUUUGCCGGAAAAUUGAGUAGACAUGCAUAUCCGCAGACGAACGGAAAUGGUCAAGAUGCAGGUUCGAACAGGGCCAUCAAUUAGACUUUUUUCGGACUCUGCUGCUCCGCUGUGGGUCCUUUGUCUUGGGCGAUGGAGCUCAGCCUGUUUGGUUAACAAGAUGGAGCUGACAGAGCCGCAGGUUAUGGCUAAGGACCAACGUCAUUGAGACAAGCUGGUUGGCCCAGCAAACAAACAAACAACCCGAGUCCCUUUCUCCUCAAAAUAUCCUUGUUUGGCAACUUUUGCGGCAAAAAUGAAAUUUUGCGUUUGCCUAACUGGCAAAAAAUUGGCCAAGUGGUGGUGGUAAGGAUGCCCCGGUGUACUGUUCCUUCUCCAUAUGCAAUGUUUUGAUGUGUGGCAAAGUCUGCUGUGAAUUGAAAAUCGAAGUUAAUAUGCUCCGCAGACUGUGAAACAAAUCAUUUUCAAGUUGUUAAAGGAAAUCGACACGUUUUUGCCAUUUUAUAUUUAUUAUGGGCGAUUUUUUCUCGUUUGCCAGCAGAUGUUGCCAAAAGUGUCAGGGUGCGAGAUGGGUGCUAAAUGGCAAUAAACCUAAUAUUUUUGAUUAUAUGUAUCUCUGAGGAUAAUGUCGAAGUGGUGUGGUCUUUCUCUUAAGAAAAUUCACAAAUAUUAGUUUAUUUAAAUCUACACUCUUACGAAACUCGUUUCUUUUUAAAGCACAUACCAAAGUUUUAAAAUUUAAAUAUAAUUCCAAAUUCUCUUUGGCUUAAUAACCUACCCCAAUUUGUUUUUAGUCCGAUCGCCAUGACGUAGGACCAAUAGGUUUCGGAUUUUACAAAGCAUUUACUUCGUCUUUCUCUUAAGAAAAUUCACAAAUAUUAGUUUAUUUAAAUCUACACUCUUACGAAACUCGUUUCUUUUUAAAGCACAUACCAAAGUUUUUAAAUUUAAAUAUAAUUCCAAAUUCUCUUUGGUUUAAUAACCUACCCCAAUUUGUUUUUAGUCUGAUCGCCAUGACGUAGGACCAAUAUGUUUCGGAUUUUACAAAGCAUUUACUUCAUAAAGGAUCUGUCACAUAUGCCUUGAUGGCAACUUCAAAGCUGCAGAAUACACCUACUUGAAUAUGCAAAACAGGACGAAAAAAUUCGUUUAGGUUAGCUAUUUAACGCGGCGUUAGGGCGGCUGAAAAAAUCUCGAACUCAACACAUUAUAUUUAUGAAAUUUGAAAGAAGUGGGGAGUCAUAAAAUUAGUAAGUACAUGAGUGGCCCUGGCUUCAUUAUCAUAAUAGAAAAUCAUGCAAAAUUCUUGGAUUCCGCGAACGUUGACAGUUUUCUGCGGGGUUUCAACCCUGAACUUACAAUUUAUGGUAAAAGAAUGAAGAAUUCUACAUCAUACCCCUUUUUUAAAAUUAUAUAAAUACAGAUUCAAAUGCUAGCAAUUCAACAUAGGAUGUCUAGAUCACAAAAACUUGCAUAGAAUCGAGGUACUUGGAAAAUCUAAAGCGGCCAUAUGGGAUUGUUAUAAUUGUUGUGGAACUUUCAAAGAUUCAACAAUUAUAGAGUUUUGGGCAUACCCAGAUUAACAAUUAUUAUUAUUUUUAAUUAUUCUACGUGGAACAGAUUUUAAAAUAUUUCUAGAUGUGGGUCAGGCUUAGAUGACAUCGUAUUGAUGUAUUCUGCAUGUCAUUUGCAUUGAAACGCUUUGCCACCCUAAUUCACUAAACUUGACAUAUCCCGUCAUCAAUGUAAAAAAAAUUUUAUUAGAGUUGAUGGGUAUUCGGAGGACUAACUCACCAGUUGUUGGGACUCAGACCACGAGAACCGGUGCUCGAGUGUCCAGAUCUUCCGGUGUUGGAGCCUCUUGCCGGCUGAUUAGCCAAAUCCCUGCCGGUGACUAGCGAAGUUCCUCCUCCCCUGUCUCCCGGUUGCUGCUGUGGUGCACUCAUCACGUGGAAUGCUUAGCAAUCUAAUGACAUUUCUAUUCCGGUAGGAAAUGUUUACAAAAAUUAAGGUAUAUGCAAAUCACAAUUGGCCAGUGGACCGCGUUUGUACUGUUAAGGUGCAUUAAAUCGUAGGAUUUUGAAUCGUCAAGUUUCCUGAGAGCAUUAAUGCGUUCUGGUUUUGAUUUUUGACCACUAUAUUUCACAGCAAACAAAUGAAUUCCGAAAUAAAUAAAAUAAAAUCCAGAACGUUUAUAAAAUUUACAAGACAGCGACACGAACAGCUGACUUGUUAUCGAUUGCAAUUCGAAUAAGGAAUCGGGACUCGGUGCUGCCACUCCGUUUCACAAUCUGGCGGCAAUUUAAAUUGACUGAAGUGACUGCUAGAAAGUAUUGCAAAACGAUACCCUACAAUUAAUACGGAACGUUUAAGCUAAAGUGUCUUAGAAAAUGCUGAGAUAUAUCAUGUUCUCAGAUAGCGAACUAGUUUAUUAUUCUACCUUAGUUCAUACUCAGUUCAGCAAAUAUAUAAUAUGAUCAUUAUGAUUAUACCUACGUAUUUAAAUUUAAAAAUGUACACCUAAAAUAGAGGAAAAAGGUUUUUAAUAAUUUUUCUGUUAGGAUCUUAAGAAAACUUUCAAAUAAUCAAUAUGCAUGAUGAUUUAGCUUGUUCGUUUGUAUUGUCUCGAAUUUAUGCUAAUGUGUUUACGCUCAAAUUCGUAAAAAUUUUCAUUUGCUCAGCAUCUUGUGUUUACUUUGCGCGUCGAUUUUUCAUUUUGUUUUAUUUGUGCUUGCUCGUGGGUUCUCUUCGAGCCCUCUUUAAAAUUUCCAUAAUUAUAUGCAUCAGCUGGCAGGUGACUGAAUGGAGAAGCAAAAGGACGAAUCGCAAGAAGGAAUGAAUCCUGGAAAACAAUAAAAAGAAGGACUGGCGAGAACAAUUUGGGUGGUCUGUGCAUUCGUUAUUUUUAUGGCAAAAUAAACCCAACGACAAAGUGUAAAUAUUGACAUUUUUAAAUUAUAAUCAAAGUGAAUAAAUAAUAAAGCGAAACAUGAAAUAAAGAAAGCAGCUUGUAAAAGUUAAUUAGGUGGCUGUCAUUGCGGGCAACGCAUCUCUAGUAGUCCAUCCCGAAUCGUUCCAGGCAUUGAUUUCAUUACCAAUGUCGAAGAAUCAGAAGUGUUUUCGGCGAAACUCGAUCACUCGGGGAUGUAGCUCAGAUGGUAGAGCGCUCGCUUAGCAUGUGAGAGGUAC